CUACCUGAAAAACAACACAAGAGAGAGAGAGAGAGAGAGAGAAGCAUGAAGGGAAGGAGAGCCAAGGACUGGAGGCCAGUGCCCUCCCUCCUAGGUCCCAGCUCCCUGAGCUGCAUGCUCUAACACUGCAAGUGCCAAGAUUCCAGAGCUUCCAAAAGCUUUGUGCUUUCCUCGGGCAGACAAGAGAAAGCACAAGACACCCGUUUCAUAAACAUGCUAGAACAGAAGGACAGGCAGAUGGUUACUCAAAGAGCCAAUCUCCGGCAGACUAUAAACAGUGGCCCAAGCAGGGCCAGGGAUUCCAACUCCCCCUGGGUGGCUCUCACUAACAGCUCACACCACCCCAAGUGUAAGCAAAAGGAGGAGUAUGGAUGAGGCAAAAGCAGUUUUCCCAGGAUUUAUCUUGGAGCUGUUGCAGUCAGCUCCUGAGAAUUGAACUUGGCACCUCUGGCUUAGAGUCAGUCAGAAGCAGGGAAGAAGACGGGCUCCAGGAAUGGCUGGAAGCAACACUGGCUGGUUACAGACAUGACUUUCUAUGACAGCAGCUUAAGUGUAAGUGUAUAUAUUUAGGGACAGAAUCUUCACCAAAACAGAAAAUUGAGAUUUCCAAAGAGAGUGACAAUAAUGUGACAUGUGAGACAGAAAUGUAGAAUUUGAGCUUCAAAGUGGGAUUGUUAGUUUACAAAGGUAAAUGGCUUUGUGGGAAUAAGUGACAGUCGUGUUGAGUCUGGAAUAGCAUGCUGUGUGUUGGAAUCCUGUAAACCCAUUCUAAUAAAAACAAUCAUAGUUGUCUCAUAUCAAUAAUGGAGUUAUUUCCAUUGGUUUUCUAGGCAAGUGAAAGGGAGGGGGCAGAGGCAACAGAGAGCAAUUCAAACAACAAAAUAGGAUGUUUUAAGACAUAUGAAUUAAAAAUGGCUUUGGAAUCUGAAUCUAUGUCCAUUGUUUGACCUUCUUACUCAACUCUUACAACAUGAUUUGUAUGUUGUAUUGGCCUAGAAUCAGAGCCAGCUCCAUUUCUGAACUGAGGGAACGAAGAAUGAUUUAAAUAAUUACAUUUCUCACAGUGAACAAUUAUUCUCACUAUAAUGACAACUCGGUGCCUUUAGAUCAUCAGCUAUGUAUGAGGUACUUUCUGUCAUUCGAUCGUGGCAAUUUUGUAAUGUAAGAUAGACAUUAAUCUCACUGUUGUGUUAUGGGAGAAAAGAAGUAGAUUGGCACUAAGCUCAUGGGAGUUUGAUUAAAGGCAGGACCAAGUCUUCAAAACAUAUCUGUGAUGCUCUACUUCAUCCAUGGGAGGGCAGAGAAGGAACCAAGGGGAUCAACAGAUGUUCUGGUACCAACUAGAAAUCAGCAAGAGAAACCUAGUACAACGAGCACCCAGAGUUUGGUCCCAGGUGUGUAGGUUCUGAUAAGUUUGUUUAGUUCCACCAGUGGCAAUAGCGAAGUAUAACAAGACAGAGAAAACCCCUUCUCAAGCUUCCAGAUCCCCUCAGGAUGCCAGCUUCCUUUGGAAAGAGUCAUGAGUGACCUGCUAUCAGAACAAUAACUUUUCUUUCCCGUUUUUGACAGAUUAGAGUACUGACAGAUUAGUUUACUGAGACCCAGACCAGCAAUUCCUUAUGCAUGGUAGAAACUCUCUAGUGGUGACAUCACUUUCAAAGCUCUGUGAAUUUAACUGUUGAUUCUGUAUAAUACCCUUAGCAUUUGGCAAUCUUAAAGACAAAUAAUUGGUUGUGUGGUCUUGCAACACAUUAUUCCUGACAUCCUAUUUCCCCAGCUUUGUUUGCUAGAAGAUCGUCAGGUUGGUUACUAAGUGACAAAGAUGGGCAGUUUUCAAAAAUAUCUCAUGUGGUUAGAGUCUCCAGGCCUAAGGUAUUAUUUACAAUGUGAAAUUAUUACUUGGAAACACCCAGUUUUCAUUUCAUAAAAGACAGAGUUGUAAUAACUGCCUGCAGAGAAACAGAAAUUCUUGAACAGAAACAGACCAUUACUAAAAAUUCAGACUUUUAAUAAAUAUCUGGGAUGUUUUUGAUAUCUUGUCAUUAGGACUUUAAGCUAAAGGGUUACUUUGGUUUUAUUGCUACUGGAACUCAAUAUAUUUGACUCUUACACAUUUUCAGAGCCUAAGGCCUCUUCGUUUUAGUACAUUCUAUCUUAUCUUCUGCGCAUCUGCAAAAGAUUAGCAGCCACUUUGAGGGUGGCCCAUAGGUGCAACUCUACUCAAAACCAUUUGAAUGACAUGGGAGUGAAAUUAUGCAUAUGCUAUUUCCCACCUACUUAAGCUGAUGAUUUUUUUAAUAUUUAUAAUUUGGGGGCUCAUCAGAUAGUUCAGUGGAUAAAGGCACUUGGUAUACAAGCUUGAAGAAGCUGCACUAGACUGGUAAUCUGAGCUUGAAUCUAGAACCCAAGUAAAUUAGAGGGAAUCAACUCCACAAAGUUGUUCUCUCACAAUCAUAUAUGUACACAUACACACAUACACAAACACAAUAUGUUUUAUAAAAAUUACAAUUUAGGGAACAUGAUAUAAAAUCAAUGAACCUUUUCUGAGGUUUUAAUUUCAAUUGGGACCUUACUGUGUUGUCUAGAGUAACCUUGAACUCCUGAACUCAGUUGAUUCUCCCAUUAUCAGUGCAUCCUGGGACUAUAGACACAUGCUACCAUGCCCAGCUGAGAAAGCUAAUUUUAUAAACAAAAUAAUAAAGACGAGAGACUCUGACUUGCCAUUUACUUAUUAGUUGGCAGCAAAACUCUGAGGAAGAAGAGGCAGCACCCGACUGCCUUCUUUAGCAUGUGCCACUGGGCAUUGCUGAAGACGCUGUAGUUCAUGGUAGCUGCACUGUGUUUCCACAGAGCUCAUCGGAACCACAGAACCUAAUUGCCACAUCACAUGUUACCUCUGCAUUCUCUGUUGGGGGAUCUUAGGAGAAUUACUUCACUCAUCCAUGCCUCAGCUUCCUCACAGCAACAUCACAGGCUUACUGUAAGCCAUUAAUAUAUACCCAACAGAAAGCUUAGAUCUAUGCUUGGCAAACACAGCAUAAGCUCUAAUAAGUAUUAAACACUAUUCUUAUUCUGAGAGGAUUAAAAUUCAAUCUGAAAUAUAACAUUGUACUAUAUACUAUUCAGGAUUUACACUUAACACACUAUCAUGCAGGAUAGUGUUUUCCCUUUAUAUAGUAAAAAAAAAUCUUUGAAAUAUAGCAUAUCUUAAUAAAAUGAACAAAAAGUACUCGACUUACACUUGUUUUUCUGUUAUUAAAAGCAAAUAUUAUGUACCAAAAACUAUUCCAAACACCUUUAUGCAAUAAUUUAUUUCUCAUAAUAACACAGACCCUAAGAAGUAGAGGCAGGUUCCAUGAAGUUGCUCUUAUAUCAGGGAGGUGCACAGAUUGACACAGUUAAUAAGUCAAGGCUGAAGCCAAGGCUCAACAUCCUCUGAUCCUAGGGACCUUGCUCCUAAACACAGUUAAUAUUAAUGAAUACACUCUAUUGUAGGCAUUCAUAUACUUGUCUCAUUGGCUGACCUCAUUAAAUUCUAAGAAGGAUUUUGAGAGAAAGAAUAUAUUUACCUGGAAGACUUAAUAACUAUUCUAUUUCCAUAGGAAUUUGGAAAUGUCACUGGCCUGUAGCAGUUUUGUGCCCAAGAGAAUUUUUGCCUCAUCAUGAAUUGUAUGUGCACACCCACUUGGAAAGUCACUGGAAAUAUUCUGAUGAAGCAUUAGAAAUGAUUCGCUUAUUGAAAGCUGGGACUGGAAGGCUGAUGGGAACUAAGAAACUUGUGUCAUCCCCAUCUGCAGUGCUUUUGUCCCUACCUAGAUUCAUCGUUGGCCACCUGCAUUGGUGGCCUUGGGUGACAACAAGGCUGUGAUGACCUUCAUGAGGACAAAUUCCUGGAGACUAAGAGAGCCAAUAGCAGAAACCAAUUUUCAAGCAACAAAAAGCUGCAUUCCAAAGUCCUGGAGCAUCUGAAGGAUACUCUUAGUGUCUUUUAAAAGUGACUGGCUAAAUCAGGAAGAGGACCAGCUAUGAGGAUCACUGCAAUCAUUGGAAGAGUAAAAUAGGUAAGUUGAAAUGAGAAGAACUUGAGAGCUGUUAUUAGAUUAAAACAAGAUACAGGAUUAUAGGUGUGGGAUGUCUGCUUUUGUGUAAGCAAAUCUUAAAAUCACAUGCAAUUUACUGUACUCUAGAACAUUAUCAAGGGAUAAUAAUGAUCUGUCAAUCAUGGCCUCCUUUGGUUUAUUAUAAAGUAACUUGGGAAAGGGCAGAUGCAAACACAUCUUUACUUUACUGCCAUUCCUGGCCAUGUGCAUACUGUUCUUAUCACAAAACUAUAAAUGUGAUGACAUAUGUAAAAUUUUAUUUCACAGAUAAUCGAGACAUUGAAUGUAGGUCUCAUCAAGAGGGCUUUGGGUCAGGAGACAUUUGAAUCCAGGCUCUGAAUCUCCACUUGGAAAUUGGGCAGAACAUGAAGAAAAAGUCCACUUCCCUUCAAGUUCUAUUCCAUGGGCUGCACAAUUAUGACAGCCAUUAAAACUGCACAUUCCUAUGUCAUUUCCUUUUACACCUACUGGAGUAUCUAAGGGUGUUGCCCAGGAAAAUCCCUACUUGUUAAGCUCUGUGCUGAGGAUCAGAAAUGCUAGAGUAUAAUAAUCAUUAACUUAUUGAUGAUGUGGGUAUUAAUGAGUGUUUCAAACACACUCUGUGUACAAACUCAUGUUCUCUUUACCACAGGCAUACAAGGGUGGAAUCCUUAUCUUCUUUCCUACAGCAGACAUGUGGCAGGACAAAUGGUCAACAAACAUUUGCUAAGUAAAUAUUAACCUGAACCUUUAAGAGGAGAGAGAGAGAGAGAGAGAGAGAGAGAGAGAGAGAGAGAGAGAGAGAGAAUAUGAAUAUGAAUGCACCUAAAGUUUAAGAGAGAUUUUAAAAUUUUAACCAAAACUAAGAAUCUAGUUAUCUAGUUACAGGCUGUAUUCACUUUUCCUUCCUUUGUUGAGCUUUCUUUAGGCCUUGUUUAAAGUUCUCUCGUUCUCUCUUGUUCCACAGGUGCAUUGCCUGAAUAUCUGCCAAAGACAGGUAGCUGAGCCAGAAGAUAAGGGGAUGAACUGGGUGGAGCGGACCAUGACCUGUGGCUCUUUUGGAAACCACUUUUCGAUACCUCCUCCCUUACAUUCUUAGACCUUGAAAGCCACCUGGCCAGGUUUCUGACUGCUAUGGUAACUUCCCUGGAAUUUUCUGAAAGCAAGUCUCAGUCCCUAUGGCACUUGUACAGCUUCCUGGACUAACAACCUGUGGGCAGUCUGUUUUAGAAGUUUCUGUCUUUAGAAACUGUAUGUACACACACACACACACACACACACACACACACACACACACACACACACACACACACAGAGUUUUAUUUUGUUUUAGGAGCUCUUAAUUGAACGUUUCCAGCAGAAACUACCUUUGUUAUCAAGUGAUUAUAAAAAUAAUGUAUGAGUUCAGCACAGUAUUUAUUGUGGAUCUUUCUCAGGGGCAGGAAUGAUGUUGUCUGCAAUGUCUUUGAUCCUUGUACUGAAAUAAUAAUGAAAAUGUAUUGAGUGUUUGCUAUAUACCUGGUGUUGGUGUCAUUUCUUAGUAAAUUUCACGUGAAUUUCCACUUCUGUUUAGUAAUAGUAUUCUUAUUUUAUAGGUAAAUACACUAAGGUAGAAAAGAGGUAGAUGUUCAAGAUUCCACAGAGAACACACACACACACACACACACACACACACACACACAGGCAAAUUCAUUAAAAACUUGGGAUGCAAAGUUAGUAUGACACCAUGCAGUUAACGCUUAGUUUAAGGCCCUUGUGGUUCAUUCUAAAACAAGGGUCAUAGAUAUGGACUGGUUUGUAAACCAAUCUUCCCUUUGAUGUGGCCCAUGUAUAGUUGGCAGAGAUACUGAACAGGAAAAAAAAGGACCCUCAAAUAGGGCUCUAUUGCCUGUCAGGUAGGUUCUGCACUGGGAACAGGCUUGGAUGCUGGUGGGCUCCAGGAGUUUCCACAGCCCCCCACUGCUUUUGGAAGAGUUCCACACACAGAGGUGGGUCAUGAAUUUCAUUCUAAUUAAUUACCUCGAGGACCUGGUAAUAAUGGCAAGUCUUUCCUGAAGUUUUUUUUUUUUAACUUACAUGUUACUUGUCUUUUAUCCAUCAGUUUGCUGGGCUGAACAGAGUCUCUGCCCCUUUAGCAAAUGUAGCUGGAAAGGAUGUUACUUCUAUUUAAGAAGUGUUCAUCUAGCGUUUACCAAAAUGAGAGGCUGCUCUGCACGUCUGACAGGAAAAUCUAUAUUGGGGAAGGGGAGUACAAAGGUGGCAGUGAUGUGGAAGCGGAAUGCCAUGUCGGGGGCAGGAAUGGAGGAAGGCGAUGAGGGAGUGGGGAAGGACAAUGUGGACAAGAUGCUGGCAAUAGUAAAAUUUGGGAUAGGGCUGUCCAGAAUAUAAGACAGGAAAAAAAAAAGAUGGACAUGCGUCUUCCUCUUUUAUACCUCUUCAUCCCCUCUCUUCUUGUGGAGAUAGUAGUAUAAUCAGCUUGCAUUGCUAAAUCCCAAUGAACAAAAACUCCCACUUGCUGGAAAUAAGACAGCAUAAAAUUUACAACUCACUGGCAAAGCAUCCACCAGGACUCUGAAACAGCUCCUCAUUUCCAUACUUAAGUUCAUUUACAAACCAACUCGAAAAUCUAAAAGCCUUAAAUGCCCCCCCAUCUUUGUCUCUACUGGUCAUUAAUGUCUCGGGGACAACUCAGUCCACUGUGCACAAUCAGCACCUAUUCACCCUUCACAGCCGUGAUGAGAGCAUCCCAGUUAAUAACCCAUCAAACAGUGGAGGUUCACUCUGGCUUGUACCCUUGACAUCCCCAGAGCAUCACUUUGACCCUCAUACUAUUGAAUGUACCAGUGUUAUACAGUAGACUCAGCCAGGCUCUUGUUCCCACCUCUUCGUGGUCUUUCAUCCCAGCUCAUGAAUUACUUCUUGUUUUUAUUACUUAUAUGUUAGAUCCUCCUGAAGCCGUUCUCUUGUUUAUUAUGAAUAGCCACAUGCGCUAGCUAUGUGGCUUUGAGAAAAGUUCAUAACCUCUCUGUGCCUUGCCUUCAUCCUUGAAGGGAAGAUUACCAUAGGAUAUGUCAUGUUGCGUUCUAGGGGCUAUGUAAGCUAUGUAGGUAAACAAAAUAGUGUCUAUGUCACAGGAUUGCUACUCUCUUAAUUCUGGUCUUAUAAUCACCCUCACUGAAUCACAUCUCCAUCCCAGCAUGUAUAGAAGCAGAGCCAGAGAAAGGAUUAUGGAGGAAGAACUUAGAUUUAUUUAUUUAUUUAUUAUAUAUAAGUACACUGUAGCUGUCUUCAGACACACAAGAAGAGGGCAUCAGAUCCCAUUACAGAUGGUUGUGAACCACCAUGUAGUUGCUGGGAUUUGAACUCAGCACCUCUGGAAGAGCAGUCAGUGCUCUUAACCACUGAGCCAUCUCUCCAGCCCCAAACCUAGCUGAGUAAGCCCUCUAUCAAUUGAGAUACACUCCAACUCUUAGAUUUUUCAGUCUGAUACUUAUUUCAUCUCCAGGAAUGCAACUCUUUCACAUAAAAGCUAGAACAAAUCCAUACAUGUGACAGAUCCACAGGUAAAAAGAAAUGUUCUACAGAACCACUGUCUUUAUACUCCAUCUCAUCACUGAGACCAAUGAGUUCAGAAAACAAAAACAAAACUAAGUAGGACACCACCACCACCACCCAGAACCUGUGCUCUACUCCAUCUCAAUUUUCAGGUCCAACGUGGCUAUGCUCAUACUGCCC